rnacentral:rRNA from 1 species
GACGAACGCUGGCGGCGUGCCUAAUACAUGCAAGUAGAACGCACAGUUUAUACCGUAGCUUGCUACACCAUAAACUGUGAGUUGCGAACGGGUGAGUAACGCGUAGGUAACCUGCCUGGUAGCGGGGGAUAACUAUUGGAAACGAUAGCUAAUACCGCAUAAUAUUAAUUAUUGCAUGAUAAUUGAUUGAAAGAUGCAAUUGCAUCACUACCAGAUGGACCUGCGUUGUAUUAGCUAGUAGGUGAGGUAACGGCUCACCUAGGCGACGAUACAUAGCCGACCUGAGAGGGUGAUCGGCCACACUGGGACUGAGACACGGCCCAGACCCCUGCGGGGGGCAGCAGUAGGGAAUCUUCGGCAAUGGACGAAAGUCUGACCGAGCAACGCCGCGUGAGUGAAGAAGGUUUUCGGAUCGUAAAGCUCUGUUGUAAGAGAAGAACGGGUGUGAGAGUGGAAAGUUCACACUGUGACGGUAUCUUACCAGAAAGGGACGGCUAACUACGUG